rnacentral:misc_RNA from 1 species
UCGGAACCUCUUUGCUUGUCCGCCCCUUCCGCUUCAUCAUCGGUGUGUUUGAUGCUGUCUCUCAUGGUGGCAUUCUGUUUCAGCGCGCGCCGCUUUAGUACUUGUUUCGGUGCUCGUGGACUCGACGUCACAACACACAACUGCGCGCACGCACGUCUGAAGGGGGAGAGGCAGCAGUUUUCACGCCCAAUGGUGCGUGCCGCAGUAGCGCAGUGAAGACUCCCUAAUCCCGGAAGCGCAUUUCGAAAUUCGGACGUCGCGGCGAGAGAGGAGGGAGCCGCAGCACAUCACUUUUGUUUCUUAGUGGGUGAGUGGCACGCCACCCAAAACGCCACGGUUUGACCCCUUCUCCUUUUCUUUUCGUAGCGUUUUCACUUUCCUCUCGUGUGAUUGAUGAGCCUCGGUGUCCUCGCAUCCACGCUCUUCACGAACUCGCGUAUCAUGCUUUACCAGCCUGAAAAUAGGUUUCCAUGGCGGCUCUCGUGCCGGUUCUCUCCAGCCUGACGAGGAAAGCAGGGAUUUCUUGUGGGCUUUCCGCAUCUGAGGCGGGCGUGAACGUGCCAAGCGUUUCUGUCGCUACGGAGUAAGCUGGCCGCAGAGCGGUGUGGCAAGCGAGCGGAGAGGGCUCAUCGAAGCAAUGGUGGUCGUGAUCGUGGCGGUCGUGGUGGUGUGUGUGAGGGGGGGGGAUGGAGGGUUGGGCGGAAAUAGGAGGGGGCGGGCAAACUGAUGGAGCCUCUGAUUUAUCAGGCAGCCACUGAUGUUUCGAGAAUGAAACAAGCAGAGACGCGCUGCUUCCAGAUAAAAACGAACAAAAAAAACACAAGGCACGCCACACAGUGCUACACCAAGCCGAACUUACCAUUCAGCAGCGCCGUUUCUCGCAACACUGCUUAGCGGUAACCGGCGGAGGGGUUGCUGAUGAAGGGACCUCAAGCUUGCUGGUCACACAAGUUCGCUCUGGAAUAAAUGCCCUUGCUAUUGUGCGUGGGAGACUCUGCACGGUUGAGUCGUUUGACGAGUGGCAUCCGCAAGAGAGACAUCAGCAACCACAAGCAGGUUGUCUUACAUCUGGCCGUAAUGCGCUGCAGGGAGCACUUGUUUCUCGUGGCAGGGCCUCGACCUGGGCCUGCUUUGCGAAGCAGUGGCGCGCAUCCUCAGAAAACACGCACGAGGCACUGCAGUUUCUACUGCGCUGCCCAUGUACAAUAAGAUUGAAGGGCGCGGAGUGGAAAGUAGUAACGAAAAGAACAACCACGAACUCGAUAGCCGGGAGCAUCACAGAGGGGCUUCAAGGAUAUCGCGCCUCCGCCUCCGCUCCCCCCCCUCCAGCGGAGAAGGUUUGAAUGCGUCUGCCUGCGCCUUUGUGGCUCUUCUGUCACGCAUAGCGACUGCUUCGAGAAUGGCCUGUCGUUCCCUCUUCGACUAAGCCGAUUUUGUUCUUCUUGGUAUGCUCUGCUGUAGAAAAAGAAAUAAAAAGCCAUGAGCUGGAAGCCACGCCCGAACUAAUAAUGCAGAGCUGUACUGUACAGGCAUAGACUCAAUUCGCUCGCUAUCUUUUGUUUUCUGUAGGUGUGUGUGUGUGUAUAGACGCCACUCUGCAUGCGCAGAUG